ensembl:ncRNA F54H5.7 ncRNA
AGAUGAAAUAAAUGAAAUCAGUGAAACGUGUUCUAAUCCCUACAAUUACCUGGAUUGUUGUGCGUGAGUGUAUCUAUCAAUAGGUUUUCAACAAAACGGACGGGGGGACGCCGCGCCGCCCCGCCGCCGGGAUGUUGUAGGUCUAACCAAACAAUUAGUCAGGUGAGUGACAAAUAUUAGCC